AGAACGAACGCUGGCGGCAUGCCUAAUACAUGCAGGUCGAACGAAGGCUUCGGCCUUAGUGGCGCACGGGUGCGUAACGCGUGGGAAUCUGCCCCUUGGUUCGGAAUAACAGUUGGAAACGACUGCUAAUACCGGAUGAUGACGAAAGUCCAAAGAUUUAUCGCCAAGGGAUGAGCCCGCGUAGGAUUAGCUAGUUGGUGAGGUAAAGGCUCACCAAGGCGACGAUCCUUAGCUGGUCUGAGAGGAUGAUCAGCCACACUGGGACUGAGACACGGCCCAGACUCCUACGGGAGCAGCAGUAGGGAAUAUUGGACAAUGGGCGAAAGCCUGAUCCAGCAAUGCCGCGUGAGUGAUGAAGGCCUUAGGUUGUAAAGCUCUUUACCGAGAUGAUAAUGAACAGUAUCGGAGAAUAAGCCCCGGAUAACUCCGUGCCAGCAGCUGC
rnacentral:rRNA from 1 species